UGAAAUAUUCAAUAAAAUAGAAUUUCUAAUUCUAAUUUUAGAUAUUUAAUUAUUUAUAUUUCU
rnacentral:tRNA from 1 species